GAUGAACGCUAGCGAUAGGCUUAACACAUGCAAGUCGAGGGGCAGCGAGGGUAGCAAUACCUGUCGGCGACCGGCGCACGGGUGAGUAACGCGUAUGUAACCUGCCCGCAACAGGGGGAUAACCCGGCGAAAGUCGGACUAAUACCGCAUAAAACAGGGGUCCCGCAUGGGAAUAUUUGUUAAAGAUUUAUCGGUUGCGGAUGGGCAUGCGUACCAUUAGGUAGUUGGUGAGGUAACGGCUCACCAAGCCUUCGAUGGUUAGGGGUUCUGAGAGGAAGGUCCCCCACACUGGUACUGAGACACGGACCAGACUCCUACGGGAGGCAGCAGUGAGGAAUAUUGGUCAAUGGGCGAGAGCCUGAACCAGCCAAGUCGCGUGAAGGAUGACUGCCCUAUGGGUUGUAAACUUCUUUUACAAGGGAAUAAAAUGAGAUACGUGUAUUUUAUUGCAUGGACCUUGGGAAUAAGCAUCGGCUAACUCCG
rnacentral:rRNA from 1 species